CCUGUCUCUAGAGUCAUUGCAGGUUUGGCUGCUGUGUCACCUGUGGGUCAGUAGGUGGCAGAGAGGAGAAGAGGCUGUGUCUGUGCUCAGUGUUCUGACCUAUGAACCUCUGAAUGAUGAGUAGCCUAAUGCC